rnacentral:rRNA from 1 species
GAUGAACGCUGGCGGCGUGCCUAAUACAUGCAAGUCGAGCGAACGGACGAGAAGCUUGCUUCUCUGAUGUUAGCGGCGGACGGGUGAGUAACACGUGGAUAACCUACCUAUAAGACUGGGAUAACUUCGGGAAACCGGAGCUAAUACCGGAUAAUAUUUUGAACCGCAUGGUUCAAAAGUGAAAGACGGUCUUGCUGUCACUUAUAGAUGGAUCCGCGCUGCAUUAGCUAGUUGGUAAGGUAACGGCUUACCAAGGCAACGAUGCAUAGCCGACCUGAGAGGGUGAUCGGCCACACUGGAACUGAGACACGUUCCAGACUCCUACGGGAGGCAGCAGUAGGGAAUCUUCCGCAAUGGGCGGAAGCCUGACGGAGCAACGCCGCGUGAGUGAUGAAGGUCUUCGGAUCGGAAAACUCUGUUAUUAGGGAAGAACAUAUGUGUAAGUAACUGUGCACAUCUUGACGGUACCUAAUCAGAAAGCCACGGCUAACUACGUG